UAUAGGACUCAGGGCCCACGUUUGUGGAAACUGCUGGAAGACAGAAACACUCCUUCUUUCUAUUGGGAUUGCUCUGGAGCUGGGAUGGAGGCUGGAUGGAGCCACUUUGCCACCAUGAGGAGAGAGCCAGAGGACGAGAGGUCAGAUCUGGAGUCCCCGGGACCUGCCACACUGACUUUCUCAGCCACGCUCAGCCGUUAUUACGAAGCAUCACAGCCAACAAUUACGGGUCUGUCAGCACUUGCUAAAUUGCAAGUUACUCAGCUGCAGGAACCAAGCCUUAUUUAGGCACAGGAGACAGCAUAUGUCCCCAAAGGAUUCUCUGCAGAAUCCCGCAGGGAAGAGCCCAAGCCGCUCCCCAGAGUGACAUGGAUUAUCCUACAAGGCGGAGGCCCGCAUUCCCAGCCCAGCAACACCCCAACCCCCUGGCUAAGAUUUUUAGGCGCAUAAUUGUCUUUGGGAUGGGGGUUCACACUCUCCCAAAGAAAGCUCUUCUGUGGCGAGCAACGAACAGAUGAUCUGUUGGGUUCCUGGUUGCAAACCUGGACUUCCAUUUUUGAACAGCAAAAUUAUGCCGAGAGCCCUACACACAAUAAAGCGCAGCUCUUAAAGGAUUUCACUAAUUCCUCCAUUUUCAAAAUAAUCUCCAUUCCAAUAAGUCCAUAGGCUCCCAAUAAUAAGCCCUGCUUUAAUUAGACCUUCCGAUCCCGAAUCUCCAGAUCCUUCCAAGUUUGUGGGCACAAACCCAGAAGCCUCUUCAGCUCGCCGGUCCACACACCCCCUUUAAAAACAAGCUGCCGUCAGUGAAGACACUGUGACUUCUGUGAUUAUUAUGCUUUGGGAUGGGUCUCCUGAUGAUGAGGGGUCGGUGG